rnacentral:rRNA from 1 species
AACCAGCACCUCAAGUGGUCAGGAGGAUUAUUGGGCCUAAAGCAUCCGUAGCCUGUUCUAUAAGUUUGCGGUUAAAUCUAUACGCUCAACGUAUAGGCUGCCGUAAAUACUGUAGAACUAGGGAGUGGGAGAGGUAGACGGUACUCGAUAGGAAGGGGUAAAAUCCUUUGAUCUAUUGAUGACCACCUGUGGCGAAGGCGGUCUACCAGAACACGUUCGACGGUGAGGGAUGAAAGCUGGGGAGCAAACCGG